GGGCUGUAUCCAUAGCUUAGUGGUAUAGCUUUUGUUUUCUAUGCAAAAGUUUGCAAGGUUCAAUCCCUAGUCUGUCCA
rnacentral:tRNA from 1 species